rnacentral:sRNA from 1 species
UUUGUUGUUCUAAAGCUCUUUACUUAUCCACUGAAAAUUUAUACCAAGGGUAAUAGCUGUGCAAUCUUCCUCACGUUGCCCCAUCCAUGUCUCAGCCCUGACCUGGAUGGAACACAUCUAGGGGAAAGAUAUUUACCAUCAAAUAGACUUCUUGA